rnacentral:lncRNA from 1 species
CCCGGUUUCCCCCAUCAGAUUGCCAGCCGAGCAGCUUCCUGGAGCGGAGUUACUCCCGGAGUGGAAUUGGCCCUCCACUGGAAUCAAACCAGGGUCCUCGCAGCCAUGUGAACCUCUCCUUGGCCAGCCUGGAGCAGACAUGCCAAGUCUGUUACUCCCUGCCUGGAUCCUCCCCUCUUCCCAGCCAGACAGGCAGGCAGGCAAGCUCCCUUGUCCUGUGAUCACAGUCGACCCUGCCUGCAGCCCCAAAGGAAGCGCUGGCUCCAUUGUCCAUAAUCCGGGGGAAGGCGUUUCUGUUCUGCUGACGUUCAGAAGCAGUGAUGGGUCCACAGGCCGCCUGGUGUCUUCUUCGGUAAUGAGAAGGGGCUGGAUAGUGAUUAGUAAGUAAUCACUGGUAAUUACAUAGAUCCCACGUCUUCCGUCCCAGAGCGCGCUUACAAAUUAAGAGCCCAAUCCUGUAUCCGGUGGAGUCAAUGACAAAACUUCUAUUGACUUUAAUGGGAACAGGACUCUGUGGGCCUGAUCCUGAAAGGGGCUGAGCCCUUGCAACUCCCAUUGAAACCAGUGGGAGUUUGCAGGAUUGAGCCCUAUCGACAGACAGUGCCCCUAAAAUGCCAUCAACCAUGGCCUGCCUGUGACAAAGCCCUGCAGUUGUUUGAUAGCACAGAUGCUUACGGGAGGCACAUUCUGAGCUCACAUGCUGGGAUCCUCAUCCUGGCAAGUUUAUGCCCCAGAGACCUGAUUCUACGAGUUCUGAUCGACCAGUCAGGGAACGGAGACAACGCUGUGUGGCUUAUGCAGCCAGUCACCACGAAGCCGGGGGCAGUGUUGUAAUCCACGUGUCCAUGAAUUCAGAGUCCACCUCUUAUGGUACUGCUUGGGAGUGGACAUGUGCAAGUAUUUGAAGAAGAAAAAAUGAUUACUAAAUGUAGCUAUUGGAUUCUGGGAAGUGCUAAAGGAUCCCCCCCUCCAGCCUAAGGAGGGGGGAUCUACAGGGAUCUACAGGGGGCAAGUGAAAUUCACCCAUGGCUGCAUCUGCAAACAAGCGAAUUCCACAGAAUCGCCACCUGUGAGCGAAGAGAGAGGAGAAUCUCCUCGUACAAUCUCCCCAGCGCUAUGGAGUCGCAGAGAGAACAUUUCAGCUCCUUUGAAAGGCUCGGCCUGGGUUUGGGGCCAGAAUCCGAUUCCUUCCUUGCUCUGGAUUUUUCUCUGCCUUUCUCCUCCACGGGGGAGCCACCU